UACGAAGGGGGCUAGCGUUGUUCGGAAUAUCUGGGCGUAAAGCGCGCGCAGGCGGUCUUCCAAGUCAGUGGUGAAAGCCUGGAGCUCAACUCCAGAACUGCCAUUGAAACUGUUAGACUUGAGUACGAGAGAGGUGAGUGGAAUUCCCAGUGUAGAGGGUGAAAAUUCGUAGAUAUUGGGAAGAACACCAGUGGCGAAGGCGGCUCACUGGCUCGUAACUGACGCUCAGGCG
rnacentral:rRNA from 1 species